AUUGAACGCUGGCGGCAGGCCUAACACAUGCAAGUCGAACGAGUGGCGGACGGGUGAGUAAUGUCUGUGAAACUGCCCGAUGGAGGGGGAUAACUACUGGAAACGGUAGCUAAUACCCCAUACCAUCAGCUGUGCCCAGAUGGGAUUAGCUAGUAGGUGGGUUAAUGGCUCACCUAGGCGACGAUCCCUAGCUGGGCUGAGAGGAUGACCAGUCACACUGGAACUGAGACACGGUCCAGACUGCGACGGGAGGCAGCAGUGGGGAAUAUUGCACAAUGGGCGCAAGCAUGAUGCAGCCAUGCCGAGUGUAUGAAGAAGGCGUUCGGGGUGUAAAGUACUUGCAGCGGGGAGGCGUUACCCGCAGAAGAAGCACCGGCUAACUCCGUGCCAGCAGCCGCGGUAAUUC
rnacentral:rRNA from 1 species